GAGUAACGCGUGAAUAAUCUGUCCUAUACAGGGGGAUAACGCAUCGAAAGAUGUGCUAAUACCGCGUAGGACCACAGUGCCGCAUGGCACAGAGGUGAAAGGAGCAAUCCAGUAUAGGGUGAGUUCGCGUCUGAUUAGAUAGUUGGUGAGGUAACGGGCCCACCCAAGUCAACGAUCAGUAGCCGACCUGAGAGGGUGAUCGGCCACAUUGGGACUGAGACACGGCCCAGACUCCUACGGGAGGCAGCAGUGGGGAAUAUUGGGCAAUGGGCGAAAGCCUGACCCAGCAACGCCGCGUGAAGGAAGAAGGUUUUCGGAUCGUAAACUUCUGUCCUAUAUGAAGAGGAGAAGACGGUAGUAUAGGAGGAAGCCCGGCUAACUACGUGCC
rnacentral:rRNA from 1 species